rnacentral:rRNA from 1 species
AGAGCGAACGCUGGCGGCAGGCCUAACACAUGCAAGUCGAGCGCCCCGCGAGGGGAGCGGCAGACGGGAGAGUAACACGUGGGAACGUACCCUUUGGUUCGGAACAACACAGGGAAACUUGUGCUAAUACCGGAUAAGCCCUUACGGGGAAAGAUUUAUUGCCAAAAGGAUCGGCCCGCGUCUGAUUAGCUUGUUGGUGAGGUAACGGCUCACCAAGGCUACGAUCAGUAGCUGGUCUGAGAGGAUGAUCAGCCUCACUGGGACUGAGACACGGCCCAGACUCCUACGGGAGGCAGCAGUGGGGAAUAUGGACAAUGGGCGCAAGCCUGAUCCAGCCAUGCCGCGUGGAUGAUGAAGGCCCUAGGGUUGUAAAAGUCCUUUCGACGGGGAAGAUAAUGACGGUACCCGUAGAAGAAGCCCGGCUAACUUCGUGCCAGCAGCCGC